UAUAAAAAGAUAACACUUUGUGAAUCAAGAAGUUGUACUUUAGAAAUCUGAUGAAAGUUUGGGAUUAAAAUAAAAUUAGAAAUAUGGAGAUAAAUAGUAACAAUGCUUUCUUAAUAGCAGUUAAAGUCUCUUUUGAUACUUCGCAAUCAUGUUUUUGCUUCAAUAAUCUCAGCAAUAGAUUCAAAGAGGAAUUGCAUAAAUUCAUAGUAUAUUUGUUAAAAAAACCAUUGUUCACAACAAUGUGUUUAUCCAUUAUAACUGGUGUUGUAACAGCCACUGUAUUUUCUUCAUUGCUAAUAUUUUCAAUAUCGUUAAUUUUUGUGGCCCUUAUUUUAUUAAUACAAGGUUUCACGAUUUUUUUAAUUAUCAGCAUUGGUGUCCACAUAUUUUUGUUUUUCGUUAUAGCUACAAUCUUUAUUUUAGGUUUAAAAAAAAUGUUUAGGGAAUUAAGAAUUAUUUAGAAUUCUACCCAUUAUACAUUUACUAGGUAUAUAAUGUUACUUGAAGAUAUGAUAUAUUACUUGGAACAAUUAGUAUUUUAGCGUUUUGAUUGAUAAUCAUCCAAUUAAUUUAAAUUAUUAUUUAUUGUGAGUUACUGGACGAUUUAUUGCUCCUGAUAGUUAUUAUUUUAAGGAAUAAUGGAUAAAAAGAGAUAUAAACAUAACCAGUUUACAUUUAAAUUUUAUAGGACUAAUUUUGUAUAAUGGCUGAACGGCAUCUAUUUACCU